UCCCUGAGAGUUCAGUUGGUAAAGAAUCUGCCUGCAAUGCAGGAGACCCUGGUUCGAUUCCUGGGUUGGGAA
rnacentral:tRNA from 1 species